rnacentral:rRNA from 1 species
GUGCCAGCAGCCGCGGUAAUACGUAGGUGGCGAGCGUUAUCCGGAAUUACUGGGCGUAAAGCGCCAGCAGGCGGCCCACUAAGUCUGACGUGAAAUCUCCUGGCUUAACCGGGAGGGGUCGUUGGAGACUGGGGGGCUUGAGGCGAUGAGAGGGGCAUGGAAUUCCCGGUGUAGUGGUGGAAUGCGUAGAGAUCGGGAGGAACACCAGAGGCGAAAGCGGUGCCCUGGCAUUGGCCUGACGCUGAGAGGCGAAAGCGUGGGGAGCGAACGGGAUUAGAAACCCGGGUAGUCC